rnacentral:rRNA from 1 species
CUUGGUCAUUUAGAGGAAGUAAAAGUCGUAACAAGGUUUCCGUAGGUGAACCUGCGGAAGGAUCAUUACUGAUUUGCUUAAUUGCACCACAUGUGUUUUUCUUUGAAACAAACUUGCUUUGGCGGUGGGCCCAGCCUGCCGCCAGAGGUCUAAACUUACAACCAAUUUUUUAUCAACUUGUCACACCAGAUUAUUACUAAUAGUCAAAACUUUCAACAACGGAUCUCUUGGUUCUCGCAUCGAUGAAGAACGCAGCGAAAUGCGAUACGUAAUAUGAAUUGCAGAUAUUCGUGAAUCAUCGAAUCUUUGAACGCACAUUGCGCCCUCUGGUAUUCCGGAGGGCAUGCCUGUUUGAGCGUCGUUUCUCCCUCAAACCGCUGGGUUUGGUGUUGAGCAAUACGACUUGGGUUUGCUUGAAAGACGGUAGUGGUAAGGCGGGAUCGCUUUGACAAUGGCUUAGGUCUAACCAAAAACAUUGCUUGCGGCGGUAACGUCUACCACGUAUAUCUUCAAACUUUGACCUCAAAUCAGGUAGGACUACCCGCUGAACUUAAGCAUAUCAAUAAGCGGAGG